UCUUCGGCCUACCCCUACCCCACCUAAAACCAUCCAAAGCUAGCCUCUCACACCUACGAACCGGGGCAUCCAUGCCCCUCCUCAUCACGUGUCCGAACCAUCUCAAUCGGACUUUUCGCAUCUUAUUCUCCACUGGAGUCACACCAACCUUCUCCCUGAUAGUCUCAUUCUGAACUCUAUCCACCCUAGUCAGCCCACACAUCUAACGCAACAUCCGCAUUUCUGCCACCUUCAUUUUUUGAAUGUGGG
rnacentral:lncRNA from 1 species